UCAACUAGCUUACCUGGCUAAAUAAAGGUGUUCUCAACUAGCCUACCUGGUUAAAUAAAGGUGUUCUCAACUAGCCUACCUGGCUAAAUAAAGGUGUUCUCAACUAGCCUACCUGGUUAAAUAAAGGUGUUCUCAACUAGCCUACCUGGUUAAAUAAAGGUGUUCUCAACUAGCCUACCUGGUUAAAUAAAGGUGUUCUCAACUAGCCUACCUGGCUAAAUAAAGGUGUUCUCAACUAGCCUACCUGGUUAAAUAAAGGUGUUCUCAACUAGCCUACCUGGUUAAAUAAAGGUGAAAUAAAAAAAUAAAAUAAAACAUUAGAUAGUAGCUUGUGGUGUCUGAUACUUGUGAGAUUUGUUCAUGACCGUUUGCAGUGGAAGAUGUACUUUCAGAUUUCUCAUAAGGUCGCCUGCGAGCUACUGGUAGGAAACCCCUGGUAUUAACAAGCACACACACACACACACACACACGAAGCAGUAAACCCAUUGGAACAACGGCACUACCCAGCACUUCAAAAAAAAAAAGGAUUUCAUGUUCAGAAUAAAACCUGUUGAACAAGGUCUAUGAGUUGUAG
ensembl:lncRNA